rnacentral:rRNA from 1 species
GGGUCAGUAGGUUGGUCGUGCCACCGGUACGUACUGGUCUCACUGAUUCCUCCUUCCUGAAGAACCGUAAUGCCAUUAAUUUGGUGUUGCGGGGAAACAGGACUGUUACUUUGAAAAAAUUAGAGUGUUUAAAGCAAGCUAACGCUUGAAUACAUUAGCAUGGAAUAAUAAAAUAGGACGAUCGAUCCUAUUUUGUUGGCUUCUAGGAUUGACGUA